rnacentral:rRNA from 1 species
CCUACGGGAGGCAGCAGUGAGGAAUAUUGGUCAAUGGACGCAAGUAUGAACCAGCCAUGCCGCGUGCAGGAAGACGGCUCUAUGAGUUGUAAACUGCUUUUGUACGAGGGUAAACGCAGAUACGCGUAUCUGUCUGAAAGUAUCGUACGAAUAAGGAUCGGCUAACUCCGUGCCAGCAGCCGCGGUAAUACGGAGGAUUCAAGCGUUAUCCGGAUUUAUUGGGGUUAAAGGGUGCGUAGGCGGUCGGAUAAGUUAGAGGUGAAAUCCCGGGGCUCAACUUCGGAAUUGCUUCUGAUACUGUGCGGCUAGAGAGUAGUUGCGGUAGGCGGAAUGUAUGGUGUAGCGGUGAAAUGCUUAGAGAUCAUACAGAACACCGAUUGCGAAGGCAGCUUACCAAGCUACUUCUGACGUUGAGGCACGAAAGCGUGGGGAGCAAACAGGAUUAGAUACCCUUGUAGUC